CAGGCCUUCAGUGUCUGAAAUUCACUAUUGUGCAAUGAUGCUUCCUUCCAUGUUUUGCUGUGUAACAGGAGGAGGUACUCUAAACAAAUGCAUUGUUUCCUCAAUUACAUCAAAGAAUUGCCAAUGUUGCACCAUUAUACCUGUACUGCUGCAUUUCCAAACACUUUCCGGUACAGGUGCAGCUGUAAGAAGGCGGAUCCGGUUCUGAUAAUCCCCACCCCUGGUAGCGUGCAGAGUCUGAGAGUCUCCAGCUCUUUAGUGUGGUGGAGCAGCCAUCAUGUCAAGAUCUCGUGCAAGAUCUUCAGCCCAAUGCCUCUCUGAUGUCAAGGACCACCUUGUGACGCAAGAUAUAUGAGGAUGCAAUUGAGAUGAAGAGGAACAUCAAAGAAGCUAUGUCCACAGUCGAUUUCAUUGCUACGACAACAGAUUGUUGGAGUGCAAGGCAAAGGGGUUUUCUUGGAGUUACUGCCCACUGGGUAGAAGACUCAAUGAUGUUUUAUUGGUAAAGGAAGGUUGUACAGAGUAUUAAAUGCAGGGGUGCCACUGAAUACAAUAUAUUUACUUGAUUUAAAGGUUGUCAUUAUUUCAGUGUGAGACUAAGCUAAGUAAUCAAACUCAUCUUUACCAGGGGUGCCAAUCAUUGUGGAGGGGACUGUGGAUGUCUCAUGUUCUGCUGUGUAUCUUUAUUUUGAUUUUUAAUUGUAAAACUUAAAUAGUGCCUAUUUGUGCUGUUACUUUGGCAUAAAAAUGCCACUGUGCUCAAAAUCAAUAUAUAUAUAUAUAUUUUAAAUCCUCUGUGUCACAAAGGUAACUAGGUGUUGCAUACCCUGCCCUAUCCCUCUGGAGCAUGACAGGGCUGGCCUGCUAAAUUACCUAAAAGAUGUAAAACGGCAUUCUUCUCCUCCACUACCUUCAUCACGUACAAAUUCAGGGUGUCAUUAAAAAGCCUAUCCCACAUGCUGGCAUCAAACCAGUGAAUGAAAACAACUAACUGCCUGGUGUUCUAUGUGUUAACAAACUUAUAUCUACUUAUUUAUUAGUUUUUUCAUUUUCUGUUCCCAUAUGUUUUCAUUCAUUCAUCCGUUAAUUAGCUUGUUUGUUCUUAAUUUGUUAAUCAAUUAAUUAAUUUGUUUUGUUCUUUCUUUCUGUCAUCUGAUAUAUCAGACAGAUUGUGUGAGUAUUAUAAGAUGGUAUGUGUAAGGACAGCAGAAAUAAUUGUCUCUUCCCUAGGGCCUGAGAGACACUGACACUGUGUACAGACUUCAAGCCUGACUGUGUUGACUGAGUGCAUUAAAAAAAAUUCACUGUGUAAGUAGGCUUGACUG
ensembl:lncRNA